GGGAAGGCAGCGGCCGCCAGCGGCGGGAGCUCGGCAGGGAGUGAGGGAGCGGGCAGGGGACGGCGGCGUUGCCGGCUGCGGUCACAUCCUCAGGGUGACCUCUUCCAGGAGGUUGCUCCAACAGCAGCAAACAGGGAUCAGUGAUUCCUUGGAAUUGUGCCUACAGACUGCAAGACCCUGCAACUGAGGUUAGCACCAUGGAUUAAUCCUGAAGGAAAUCCUGGAGGUCUUAAAAUAAAUAGCUCCUCUAUGAAGACUUUCCCAAAAUCUGAGAUGCAUUUAAUGAGGAAUCCAGCUCGGAGACGAUGCACGCCUGGAGGGUUUUUAUGGGAACCUGCUUCUGCAGGGGGGUGCUCGUGCUUUCACACAGCUGCUCUUGUGCCCUUCAAUCUGCACAAGACUGUCUGAAGAGGAAAUACAAAGGUCUACACUGAAAUUUGCUCUGUGAUCGAGUGAUCCAAGUGGUGUUUUGUCCUUACGCCGCGUCGGGUCUUUGGCACGGCGAGAUGUCUUUGCCUAUUUGGGAAAAGACAAGGCAAACAGUAAACGGGCUGAAAUCCA